GUCUCUUGGAGUUGAGGCCUUGACCGUGGCUUUCGGACUAACGCGUUAAGUAGACCGCCUGGGGAGUACGGUCGCAAGAUUAAAACUCAAAUGAAUUGACGGGGGCCCGCACAAGCGGUGGAGCAUGUGGUUUAAUUCGAUGCAACGCGAAGAACCUUACCUACUCUUGACAUCCAGAGAACUUUCCAGAGAUGGAUUGGUGCCUUCGGGAACUCUGAGACAGGUGCUGCAUGGCUGUCGUCAGCUCGUGUUGUGAAAUGUUGGGUUAAGUCCCGCAACGAGCGCAACCCUUAUCCUUGUUUGCCAGCGAGUAAUGUCGGGAACUCCAGGGAGACUGCCGGUGAUAAACCGGAGGAAGGUGGGGACGACGUCAAGUCAUCAUGGCCCUUACGAGUAGGGCUACACACGUGCUACAAUGGCGCAUACAGAGGGCAGCAAGCUAGCGAUAGUGAGCGAAUCCCAAAAAGUGCGUCGUAGUCCGGAUUGGAGUCUGCAACUCGACUCCAUGAAGUCGGAAUCGCUAGUAAUCGUGGAUCAGAAUGCCACGGUGAAUACGUUCCCGGGCCUUGUACACACCGCCCGUCACACCAUGGG
rnacentral:rRNA from 1 species